GACGAACGCUGGCGGCGCGCUUAACACAUGCAAGUCGAACGGAAAGGCCUGCUUUCCCUUGUGGAUUGCGGGUACUCGAGUGGCGAACGGGUGAGUAACACGUGAGUGAUCUGCCCCCAACUUGGGUAUAAGCCUGGGAAACUGGGUCUAAUUCCCGAUAGGACUGCAGGGUGGUGCCUGUGGUGGAAAACGAUUUUCUAGUGGUUGGGGAUGAGCUCGCGGCCUAUCAGCUUGUUGGUGGGGUAAUGGCCUACCAAGGCGGCGACGGGUAGCCGGCCUGAGGGGGUGGACGGGGACAUUGGGACUGAGAUGCGGCCCAGACUCCUACGGGAGGCAGCGGUGGGGAAUAUUGCACGAUGGGCGGAAGCCUGAUGCAGCGACGCCGCGUGGGGGAUGACGGCCUUCGGGUUGUAAGCUCCUUUCGACCGCGAGGAAGCCACCUGGUUGGGAGGGUGGUGACGGUAGUGGUAGAAGAAGCACCGGCUAACUACGUG
rnacentral:rRNA from 1 species